UAUUCAUUUUCUUCCGGAAUGUUUUUAAUGAGGCACUAACACCGCCACAUUCAACCAAGUGGAGUGAAACUUCAACUCAAGUCGGUUUACAAUGUCUGUCACUUUGCAUACAGACCUCGGGGAUAUCAAAAUCGAGCUGUUCUGUGAGCGGACUCCAAAAAGCUGUGAGAAUUUUCUAGCCUUGUGUGCCAGCGGUUUCUACAACGGGUGUAUCUUUCAUCGAAACAUAAAAGGGUUUAUGGUCCAGACAGGAGACCCCACAGGUACAGGAAAAGGAGGAGCAAGUAUUUGGGGAAGAAAAUUUGAAGAUGAAUUUAACGAACAUUUAAAACACAAUGUCAGGGGGGUGGUGGCGAUGGCAAAUAAUGGACCCAAUACCAACGCGUCACAGUUCUAUUUCACCUACGCCAAACAGCCUCACCUGGACAUGAAAUACACAGUGUUUGGAAAAAUAAUAGAUGGUUUGGAAACUCUGGAUGAGUUGGAGAAACUCCCUGUUCAUGAAAAGACAUUUCGGCCUUUGAAUGAAGUCCACAUUAAGGAUGUGACUAUUCACGCAAACCCAUUUGCUGGUUAACAUUCGGUGGAUUGUGAUGGUCCAUAAGGACAGUCCUUUAAUAAUGAUGGGGUUUAAUGUUUGUACAGAACACUGUGGAACUUUUUCCAAAGUUGUGAAUUUUUUAUGUGUAUUUUCCCAUUCUGUUUAUGUUCUUUGUUUGCAAACAGGAUUUGUAACCAUGUAUCACUUUUUUUUAACAUAACUAAAAUAAUAAUAUUAAAAAAAAUAAAAUAAAAUUAAAAAAAAGUACAGAGAUUGUCUAGAGUUUUGUGAAGAGGGCUCUGGUUGAAUGUGUGUUGUGUUGUGAUGUGACAUGACUUGCCUUGGCCCAGAUCUGCAGAACAUCUGUGGUGAUUUUGAAGAAAUUACAAGCUUCUCAGAAUAUUGCUUGAUUGGUGCUUGAUUUUGUGUCAAUUUCUGCGAUUGAAUCCUGGAGGGAUUGAACAAAUCAGCAUAUUCACCUAUAACCUAUGUUACAUUACCUCCAUGCCUUUUUUCACUCGUACUUAAUGACACACACUUGCUGGUAGGAUCAUCCCCUGGUAUGAGGUGUAGUAUUGUGUCUUUUCUGUUCCCAAAACACAGAUGUAGUCAAGGUUAUUUCACAUAUUUCAGAUAUUAAUCACUGACUCAGCUGCCCAAUGUCAACAUAAUCAGUGGACAGCUCAGCCAUUGCUAAAUAGCAAACAAAACACAGUGGAUAUUAUCCUACAUAAAAUAAUUAUUUAGAUAAGAAGCACGUUUUUGCCUUGGAGUUUCUUUGCUAAGUUUUUAAAUUAGCAUGACUUUUAACACAUUUCGUUGAAGAGAACAGAUUUGGGGACUUUUAUUUUGGGCAUUGCCUAGGCCACUUCGACCCGGAACACAUACAAUGUGGAAAUUGUUUUUAAUUUUGUUUCAGUGGAUAUUUGUAUACAUGUUUGUAUAUGGGCGAAAUUGUAAUAGUUUGCAUUUUAAUGUAAUAUUUUGUGCAUUUUUUUUUUUGGCUGGUCUAUUUCGGUGUUUUUGUCUGUGACCACGCCCACUCUAUACGUUGAGUUCCUGAGUUAAAGGUGUUUGUGCGCGUGAGAAGCUCGUGAACUUGACAAUCAGCGAUGGCGACGUCGGGAGCGAUUCGUUGCUGCUGAGUGUAAAGUGCCCGGUGAUGGUGGUGUACUUGCUCAGGUUUGCUCGCUGGAGGAUAAAGUGGCGUUAAUCACUGGAGCGAGUUCAGGUAUUGGAGCUGGAACUGCUCUACUCUUCGCCAGACUCGGAGCUCAACUCGCUCUCAAUGGCCGUGACAUGGACAAGCUCAGCAAACUCGCCAAAGAGUGUGAAGAGUGCGGGGGCAAAAA